AUUGAACGCUGGCGGCAGGCCUAACACAUGCAAGUCGAGCGGAUGAAGGGAGCUUGCUCCUGGAUUCAGCGGCGGACGGGUGAGUAAUGCCUAUGAAUCUGCCUGGUAGUGGGGGAUAACGUCCGGAAACGGGCGCUAAUACCGCAUACGUCCUGAGGGAGAAAGUGGGGGAUCUUCGGACCUCACGCUAUCAGAUGAGCCUAGGUCGGAUUAGCUAGUUGGUGGGGUAAAGGCCUACCAAGGCGACGAUCCGUAACUGGUCUGAGAGGAUGAUCAGUCACACUGGAACUGAGACACGGUCCAGACUCCUACGGGAGGCAGCAGUGGGGAAUAGUGGACAAUGGGCGAAAGCCUGAUCCAGCCAUGCCGCGUGUGUGAAGAAGGUCUUCGGAUUGUAAAGCACGUUAAGUUGGGAGGAAGGGCAGUAAGUUAAUACCUUGCUGUUUUGACGUUACCAACAGAAGAAGCACCGGCUAACUUCGUG
rnacentral:rRNA from 1 species